rnacentral:lncRNA from 1 species
UUAUUUUAUAACGUGUCAUUCUUAUAAGCCUGUAUUUAUACUCUUAUCACUCAUGAACUUGCUGGACAACAAUGUUUAUGCCUUCUGUCACUUUGAUGAGCUCGCGCUCCUGCCGACAGCACAGUUUAUGCAUCUUCAGGAAUAGAUUUUCUUUAGGUCUUUGGCGACUUUAUGAACACUACCCACUCCAAACAUUUAUUUUAGGGUUCAGCCCCACAAGUUUGUUCCAAUAAGCGUCCCACUCCUGACGUCAUGUCUGCCGGAGAUUGGCUGUUCAGUUCUGACACUAACUCCUGCCCUUACACAGUGAAACUUUUUAAAAGAGUUUUCAAUCGCAUCUGCAGGGUAAAGUAUUGCACAAACGUAGCCAUAGCAGCCGUAACAUCUGCUGCCCAGCUUCCCCCUACCCAGCGCAGAGAUAAAGCAGUGCUUAUUCCGUUUUAGACCCAUAUUCAGGUUUAUACAUGCCCUCUUUUAUUUUUUACUUUUUAAAAUUAAGCCUACGUUUUAGUUCUCGUCUUUAAUUCGGGUUGAAAGGCGAACCAUAGACAAAUAUACUCAGGGAUAUAUAACUGGUUUACUUGCUAUAAAGUUACAGAAGUUUUUAUUUUCCAGAUACGGACCUUCUUCAAGCAAUUUAUUAUAAAGUUUCCAAAAAAGUAUAUUGUCUUUACGCGGAUACGGAGUGGAUAUGGCUUGGAUCAGAUGGGACCUAUUCUUUUCUAUAGGUUUAUUCAUUUCACCGGCAUUUGUCUCCACGGAUCAGAGUGGCUUUAGGAGAUACUACGUGUUGCAGCCAGGACCGAGCGGGACGGACAGAGUACAUGUGAGUUCCAUCUCUUCGCGCUCCGGUGCCACUGGACAGCCCCAUGCCUACAAUGUGGAGCUCUCGGCCAGUUACAGUGGCCAGGUCCGAACCCGUAGGAUGGGUAACCAAGCGAACCCGAUCCCGCUUCGCCAGGACACACAGUUUACGCAGCAUCAGCAAGUCAUUCGGCGCACCAGCCACAACAUUCAACAGAGUCACCAAAUGAAAAUGUCAGGAGUGAAUGUCUGUGGAGGGCAGUGCUGUCAUGGAUGGAGUAAGGCCUCUGGAUCGCAGCAGUGCACAAAGCGUGAGUAUACACUACACUACAUCACCACAGCCGAGCCACCGCUGCCAAAUCGCUACAGUUGUUCAAAAUGU